UACGGAAGGCAGCAGUGGGGAAUAUUGCACAAUGGGCGCAAGCCUGAUGCAGCCAUGCCGCGUGUAUGAAGAAGGCCUUCGGGUUGUAAAGUACUUUCAGUCGUGAGGAAGGUGUUAAGGUUAAUAACCUUAGCAAUUGACGUUAGCGACAGAAGAAGCACCGGCUAACUCCGUGCCAGCAGCCGCGGUAAUACGGAGGGUGCGAGCGUUAAUCGGAAUUACUGGGCGUAAAGGGCACGCAGGCGGUUAAUUAAGUUGGAUGUGAAAUCCCCGGGCUUAACCUGGGAAUGGCAUUCAAGACUGGUUAGCUAGAGUCUUGUAGAGGGGGUAGAAUUCCAUGUGUAGCGGUGAAAUGCGUAGAGAUGUGGAGGAAUACCGGUGGCGAAAGGCGGCCCCUGGGACAAAGACUGACGCUCAUGUGCGAAAAGCGU
rnacentral:rRNA from 1 species